rnacentral:rRNA from 1 species
UACGUAGGGUGCAAGCGUUAAUCGGAAUUACUGGGCGUAAAGCGUGCGCAGGCGGUUUGGUAAGACAGAUGUGAAAUCCCCCGGGCUCAACCUGGGAAUUGCAUUUGUGACUGCCCGACUAGAGUGUGUCAGAGGGGGGUAGAAUUCCACGUGUAGCAGUGAAAUGCGUAGAGAUGUGGAGGAAUACCGAUGGCGAAGGCAGCCCCCUGGGAUAACACUGACGCUCAUGCACGAAAGCGUGGGGAGCAAACAGGAUAGAUACCC